UGCUUCUGUGAUGUCUGAACUGCAUGGCAGUUUUCUAAACUUGCGCCAUGGCAGUUUUCUAAACUUGCGCCACUGAGUUUAUUGCAAUGAUAAAAAUAGGAUUGCGCCAUGUGCUACCAUCCUUGCUGUGGCUGAAGUUAACCACUGCUCAGUAACAGCUGACUGAACAGGAGCAUUUCCAUAGCUCCCAUAUCCUUUAUGUCCCUGGAGGGUGGAUAUUCUCUAGGCAGAAAUCUUCUGUAGUUUUGCAAUUAAAAUCCAGAUCAUAACAUACAUACAGUGACCCAAUCUCAACAUGUUUCACAUCUCCUCUGGGAUGUCAUGUAGGUUUGAUAGUCUGUAUUGCUUUUUGUUUGCAAACGGGGGACAGAGAGAGAGACAUUGAAGAACUCUGUGCCUGAGCAGAAGUAAGAUUAGUUCUGUCAUUGGCAUGGAGUGAGGGUAAGUUUUCAGAGGCUAUGAAAAUAAUUUAUUUUUCUUUUAAGUGCGUGGCAUAGGAAUGAAAACAGCAACACACACAAGAUAGUCACAUUUGUAGACAAUAAGGGCAAAGUGUAAUCGAGUCCACAUCAGAGUGAAAUUUGUUUAUAGAUUCUCCCAUGGGCUGGAGAGAAUCAUGGGACUGCAAAUAGGACAGGAAAAAAUUCGUGCUACAUAUCUAACUAUUCUAAGAUCAUAGCCUCCUGUGCUCCCUGGUCUUCUUUUUCACUGUGCAUGACUUGGAGCAAAGCCAUCUUCUAAAAGUAGUUUGUUGACACCUUGAUACUGAGCAGAAGAAAACCAGGAAUUAAGAUUUAAUGGGCAGCAAUAAUGAAAAGAAAAGAGAACUCCUUCCCAACAGCUAUGAAGAUCUUCAGUUUAUGGUGUGCUGGGUGCUAAGGAUAGCAUUACUGAGGUGACAUGAACUUUUUAAAUUACGGAGCUACUGGUAACUUACUGCUGAAGUCUUAUCUUUCAAACAGCUAUUUCCAGCUAUUUUCCAUGUUUUAUCCAACAUCAAGAAAGGUCUUCACUGCUCCACUAUCACUGUUCUUGUGAGAAGCAGCUCCCAAGAGGUUCGACCAGCAA
rnacentral:lncRNA from 1 species